AAAAAGGGCUCAGGACUUUCUAUACUCAAGAGCAGCAAAGCCACACACGGCUGCAGUAUGUAACAGGGUACUGCCUGCGAGCUGUGCUGGGAAAGACUUGUGAUUCAUGAGGCCAGAAGGCAUUGAGGGCUGCACUAAAUAACUUUGGAGUAAGUGCAGAUGGAGUAGGACAUGAAAAGUACAACUUCUUGCUGAAUUGCACAGCUACCCUUGACCUGGCUGUCUUGCCCAACAGACUGUUACUGCUUCUGUUGUCAAGAGACGUCUGUGGCUGCAGAAGAGUCCAGGAUUUGUCUGUGAUAGAAUGACUACAAGUGACCCAGUUCCACAGCAUACACUUGGCCAAUGCCAAACAUGACUUUUGUUGGAACUUGGCUUUUGCGUGCAAAAUAAUUUUGUCUUUAGUUUUUGGUGGUGUUAUUGGGGGAGCAUCAAUAUUUUGCUUGUUAGACACAUU
rnacentral:lncRNA from 1 species